CGGUGGUCUAGUGGUUAUGGCGCUCGACUGCUGACCCGAAGGUCGCGGGAUCGAAUCCCGGCCGCGGCGGCUGCAUUUUCGAUGGAGGCGAAAAUGUUUGAGGCCCGUGUACUUAGAUUUAGGUGCACGUUAAAGAACCCCAGGUGGUCGAAAUUUCCGGAGCCCCCCACUACGGCGUCUCUCGUAAUCAUAUCAUGGUUUUGGGACGUUAAACCCCAGAUAUUAUUAUUAUUAGAACUUCUACUUAUUCACACUAUGCAGACCGCGGUGUUCUUAUGUGCGCAACGUCAUUACGGACAUUAUACGUACUCCACAGCAUCAACAGAGGUGCUGGUCUUGAAAACGCAAGGUGCGAUGCAAAAGCUGGUGUGACCUCUCUAGCUCCAAUGAGGACGUUGUUUAUGAUCAUUAUGGUGAGGAUUACUUUUGCCUUUGGGUCGCCUCACGUGAAUGCAUAAGGCACCUGAAGUAGAGCACCAAGUCGGGCUAGUUGGUUUAGAUUCAUUCAGACCCUGUGAGUUUUUGCUCGCGAAUCUGCGUGCUAUAUAUAUGUUUGGGACAACCAUCUUGAAAUAGAAUUCAACGCAAAAGUCAUCAGCAUUGCAGCACCGGGCUUCUGUUGACCAAAUGAAAUCUCAAGGCAAUAUUCUUAUUAACCUUGUGUUUGCAUCUUUGUACGUUGUGCCUUGCCUUGUGUUCCUGACAAAUGUAACUCUGCUGUACACUGGACUUCUUAAUUUUUUGUUGAGUACAAUAUGUAUUGUUUGCAUUUGAUGUUUCAAUUGCUAUUCUUACAGUAUUAUAUAGUGAAGUUACACUGCUGCUAUGUAGAAAAACCAAUGCAGUAAAUUGAACCUUGAGCAGGUGCCAGCAUUUCAGCACAGUGGAUAGGUGGGCAGGUUGGUUAUGACUCCUGACACAAAACGGUGCGAAAAAGACUACAGAAUAGAGUAGAAUUUGCAGGACAAUGCAGUUCAAGUUGGUUUUUAUCUUCCAAUUGACCAUUAUGCUUUGGUUAUUAGGACAGUAAUUUAGAAAUAUGUUUUCCUGUAUAAAAUGAGUCAGUUACUAGUAGCAUGCCGCCCUGCGAUUUUUAUUCUGUGUCUUCUUUCUGAAGCCUUUUUGCAUCGCGAGUGGUCAAAUAGUCGGAACGACUAUUAUGCCGUUUUCGCAAACGCAGUUCUCGAACCAUGCAAUACAGGGCUGUUGCCAAGGUGGUACGCGUACGUCUUUUCCCACAGCGAUUGGCCUCUGGAGUGAGGCUUGCCCCUUUUGUGGAUCGAGUAGAGAGCUUGAGUAUUGGUUUGGUGAGCAUGGAAUUCCGUGUCGGGCCACUCUGGGCGACACAAGAAGUUUUGGUGGUGAGCUGUGGCAAUUCACGAGCACGAUAGUUGCGCUUACAUCAAUUGGCACAUGAGUGUUGGCAGGAUUCUGUCUUGGGAGGGGGGACUGCAAACCCGUGUGGCAUCGCAUUGGUGGAGGGUUGGGGAGUACUGAUGAGGCUUAGGGUGGGCUUCUGUUUUGGAUUUCUGCAUGCUGUGGAGCCAUCAUGAUGAGGACUUCAUUGACAGUGUAGGAAAUUAAGUGUCGUCACUCGCACACAGAUUAGUCAGCACUGAUUCUUAAAAACUGUUAUGGACGAUUCCUUUUUCAAUACGCCCUGUUCUUUAAGCUUUUUGUGGCCCUGUCUGCAUAACAAAAGAGGUUUUUUGGCGACUAUACCUUGCAUAGAAAGUCAAAUUUUGAUACGUAAUACAAAAUACGACAAAGUUGUUUGGGCAUGUUGGUAGUAGUAGUAAUCCAUAAGUAUGUUGAAAAAUCAUCUUAUACACAAGCAACAUCAAUAUAAUCUGUGCAAAUUGAUGAGCUGCACUGAAAAAUAUUUUGCGCAAGUGCGACAACGUAUCAGAUUUGAGUAAUCCAUGUUGGCACACCUAAAAAAUUAACUUUUCCUGUUAGUGUGAUAGAAGGCACUCUUUCAAGUGCCUGUGCCUGUUAUGUGCCUUUUCAUGCGUGCCUGGCUCACACUUUUCAAGUAUAUUUAAAGCAAAGUGUAUUUCUUAAUUUACAGGCUUUUACAUCGAGGUUUAGCUAUGUUAGCAUCUCUUUAAAUUGUAUUACAAAGCACAGAGUCAUGCAAGGUAUGUGCAGUGGGGCUUGUCAGCAACAAUAACCCAUUGUCACUCAGUGUAGAUGAGACCUGUACUUCACUGAUGACAGGCACGUAGGCAAGGGGGGGCCCAGGUGGGCCCGCCCCCCCCCCCCCCCCCGAAAUUCGUACAGUCGGCCAUUAAUGCAAGAAUAUAGAGGCACAAGUACAAGUAGUGGCGUGCGCAUUUAAACAAAUGAAAAGCAAACGCUAGACAAGGAAUUCACCAAGAACUGCUACCAAAGAACCUUUAUUUGAAAAGCACGGCAACACUCGCCGAGAAAUUCAAGACCGUCCACCGAAGGAGACAGCCCAAGGCACUGUAUACAAGCUUGGAAAAGGGAACUUUAGUACAGAAUGUGACGGCUUCGACGCCCAUUAACCCGUGUGACCCCACUCGCGCCUCUGCGAACCCCACCACCCUUUGUCCGCUGCCUCGGUCGUCGGGCAGGUGCACGCAUGGCGGAACGAGUAAAGAGGGUAAACAAUUUGUUACGGUUGGGACGCCCACCUGUUGAGUUAGCGAAUAUGCGGCUCUCCAGUUAUAUGCCUAGUGCGUGUCGACGGAAGCGCCAUAGGUGGCGAACUUGCUAAUCACUCUCGGGAAAGUAAGCAGCUGACGACCGCCGUUGUUACGUCGUUGUACGUGUGGUACCGCGUUGUUUGCAUUUCCGUAAGAAAAUAGGCAACGUUCGUCGUAUCUGUGGUGGCCGAAACUUCAAGGGAUGUCUAAUAAUUGCUGUGGGGUGAGGUGCUCGAACACCUACAAAAACUCGCCUGCAACACGGUGAAAACGUCACAGCACCUGCAGACUUGAAUGCCGAGAGAACGCAUGACUGCGAGGACGGUUUGGAAACUGUGAGCUCUUUUUGUCAUAAUGACAUCGGAAUGUUUGUCAAUAAGGCUGAUAUAGCUGAGGACAUCAGAGAACGGGUAUACUCUACCGUAUGGAUGCCACCACCGAGCUACAAGUUUGAAAUCUCGGUCGCCAAGAACGAUAAAAGGCGCACAUUUCAGUUUCACUGGCUGCAGCAAUAUGAGUGGCUUGCAUUUUCUCACGUGCGGAAGGGAGCUUUCUGCAAAACCUGCGUACUUUUUUGUCGUAAGAGCGGAAUGGGUGUAGGCUCUCACCAGUCAUGCAGAAACCUCAUAACAGUUCCGUUUACGAAGUGGAAGGAUGCCAUUGAGACAUUCGAGAAUCAUGCAUGAACUGAAUACCACAAGACUGUAACGGUUGGCGCGGAGUGCUUUCUCGGAGUCGCCAGAGGAAAAUCAAGCAGUGUCCAUGUACAGCUUAGUCAGCAAGCAAAGGGCGAGCUCAAAGACAACAAGGCAAAGUUGCGCGCGAUUGUCGAGAAAGUUGUACUGUGUGGCCGUCAGGACCUCGUGCUGCAAGGUGACAAGGAUUCGGUGCAUCUUUCUCUCGAAGAACCCUUACAGAACGACGGCAAUUUCAGGGCGCUCCUACGUUAUAGAGCGAAUGGAGGAGACACCAUUUUGGCCGAUCACAUAUGCACAGCAGGCAGCAAUGCUCUUUACUCCAGCCCGCACAUUGAAAAUGAAAUUAUUUCGCAUAUACAAGAUAAAAGCUUAUAGUACCAGAUAAAAUUGUCAAACAGGUAAACGAGGCUGGAUUUUUUCGGUGCUGGAAUAUGAAACAACGGAUGUAUCCCAAACCGAGCAAUUCUCGUUGUGCGUACGCUACGUUGAUCCCACUACUUCAAGCAUUCGGGAAGAUUUCCUCUGCUUCGUACCUGUUGACGACAUCAUACGUCUAGCCUAGCUGACACACUGAAAAGGGAGCUGCUGAAUCUUGGCCUGCACUUGAACAUGAUGUGAGGCCAAGGAUAUGAUGGAGCAAUAGCGAUGAGUGGGACAUUCAACAGCGUACAGGCGCUCAUCUGGCACGACUUCCCACUGGCUUUGUACACGCAUUGCUCGUCGCACUCUCUGAACCUUUGUUUGAGCGACGCCUCAUCUGUCCAAAACAUUCGACGGGCCUGUGGCACAAUUAGUGAAGUAUGCACUUUCUUUCGGCUGUCACCCAAAAAGACAGCAGUCCUGAAAAAGCAUCUAAAAGCGUCUACAAAGUCAUUCGGCCGGCUGCGCCGAUAUUGUAAACAAGGUGGGUUUAACGUCAUGAUUCAGUCGCAUUGUUUGGAGAAGCACUUUCCAGGGUAGUUCGCUCACUUGAAGAGUUCAUGGACACCUUCCGUGACAAAGUCACAGCGUCCACCACUUAUUGCCUCCAUCAGCGAAUCUGUUCGCCCAACUUUCUUAUAUGCCUCGCUUUUAGUGAGACAUUCCUAGGCCUUACACACCACUUGACUGUGUAUCUGCAGAGCCCAUCUAUUGACAUGAGCGUCGCCUUGGAGCAGGUUUACUUGGUGCUGACUAAACUAGAAAAGAUGGGAACUAACGCGGAGGCAGAAUUCCGCAAAAUAUUUUCUCUAUGUCAAGAUAGAGCGGCGGAGUUCGGAGUGAAGUGCAAGAUUCCACGGGUGGUAGGAAAACAGAGAUACCGGGCAAACUACGAUUCUAGUUUCGCGGAAGAGUACUACAGGCGAGCCUUGUUCAUUCCGUACAUAGAUGACCUGAAAGCUUCCCUCAAACGGCGCUUUGCAAACCAUCGGAAAACACUUCAAAGUUUGCAAUUUGUGUUGCCAGAGCACGCCUCCAAAGGCAAAUUUGAAUCUGUGCAGCCGUCCUUCGAUUUUUACCUGAGUGAUAUGACAACAGCUCAUAUCCUUACACUAAAAGGUGAAUGGGAAAUCUGGAAAACUAAAUGGCAAGCCAUGCAAGAGGAGGAACUUCCCCGCUUUGCGACGGACGCUUUAGCUGAAUGCGACAAAGCCCUCUUCCCGAACGUUCACACACACCUCAAGAUACUGGCAACGCUCCCAGUGAGUACAGCUGCUGCAGAACGCAGCUUUUCGACACUUAAAAGAGUGAAAACAUAUUUGAGGAAUCGGACGGCUGAAGAGCGGCUUAAUGGCCUGGCCCUAAUGUCCAUUCAUCAGAUGCAAGUCAGUGUCGACGAAGUUAUCGCUGUGUUUAUGGAGAAACCGCGACACAUGAAAAUUGCAGCGUGAACCACUUUCUUCGGCCAGGCUUCGUGUUCGUUUUUUUUUCUUUUGCAUUGACAUUUACAACAUGGCAAAACCAUUCGCAAUGCCAUUCUUUAAAAUUGCUUGCUAAAAUGAAUGUUAGCUUUCUGCAUCUCUUGUGUCAUGAAAGCAUCCGUGUUUUGGUUCUUUGUUGUCCAAUAAAGUUGUUUUCCUGAAUGUGUCUGUUCGUUGUUUAAGAAUUGGUGUCAUAAAAUGACUCAUGCUCUUCUCACAGGCCUGCUGUUACAACAGAGGUGUGAGAAGUUCGGUAGAGAGAAUGUCCAACAUUUUAUUAUUUUUUUUGUCGCGCAUACGUAAGUGGGCGCCCGAUUCCCUUGCAUUACGCCAUUCCCUUUUUUUUUCUUCUUUUUGUGAUUCCUUUUUCCGUCUCUGACUCUGAAUGGCCCUUCUUGGUCGAGAUUAUUUGGUUGGAAAGCAUUCUUUCUGGUGCACACGCACUAGCUUUAAUGCAGUGUCAAAAACUUGCUUUCCAUCGUGGAUUAACUCGCCUCUUGUGCUGCAUUCCACUCUCUUCUCAUUUUCUUCUAAUAAUUAAGCGCCUUCUAUAUUUCCGGGCAACUUUCUUUCUUUUUACCACGGAAAAACUUUCUUUCGAACAAUUAGGCCUUGGGCCCCUCCGAAAAAAAAUCCUGGCUACGUGCCUGCUUGAUGAUGUAUGUUUAUUGCAGAUCCUGAAGGUAUAGUCAUUAUGGUGGUCAAGUUAAGGGGCAGCUGCCAAUGAUAGGGAUAUGGCAGCCUUUGUGUUAUGCAUUUCAGACAUUAGAAGAAAGUUAUUUUGGCUGCCACUUCCUCAGAUUAGCAGAGGUCACGAGCCUGUGGGAAAAUGUCCCCUGCCAAAGUGCCGUGGGUGCACACCCUGGGAGGCAGAGAAGGGAUAGCUGCCUCACCUUGCUUCUACCAGCAAGGCUUCUUUAUAUGCCCUUCA